UACGUAGGUGGCAAGCGUUGUCCGGAAUUAUUGGGCGUAAAGCGCGCGCAGGCGGUCCCUUAAGUCUGAUGUGAAAUCUCGCGGCUCAACCGCGAGCGGUCAUUGGAAACUGGGAGACUUGAGUGCAGAAGAGGAGAGUGGAAUUCCAUGUGUAGCGGUGAAAUGGGUAGAUAUGUGGAGGAACACCAGUGGCGAAGGCGACUCUCUGGUCUGUAACUGACGCUGAGGCGCGAAAGCGUGGGGAGCGAACAGG
rnacentral:misc_RNA from 1 species